GGACUUUUGGGCAAUGGGGGAAACCCUGACCCAGCAACGCCGCGUGAGGGAUGAAGGCCUUCGGGUCGUAAACCUCUGUCGCGAGGGACGAACGACCGCCGGUCGAACAGGCCGGUGGUUUGACGGUACCUCCAAAGGAAGCACCGGCUAACUCCGUGCCAGCAGCCGCGGUAAUACGGAGGGUGCGAGCGUUGUUCGGAAUCAUUGGGCGUAAAGCGCGUGUAGGCGGCUUGGUAAGUCGGAUGUGAAAGCCCGGGGCCCAACCCCGGAAUUGCAUUCGAAACUGCCUCGCUGGAGUCCCGGAGAGGGUGGCGGAAUUCCCAGUGUAGAGGUGAAAUUCGUAGAUAUUGGGAAGAACACCGGCGGCGAAGGCGGCCACCUGGACGGCGACUGACGCUGAGACGCGAAAGCGUGGGGAGCAAAC
rnacentral:rRNA from 1 species